rnacentral:tRNA from 1 species
GCCGAAUUGUGUAGUGGUUAGUGACCCUGAUUGCUAUGCAGAAGGUCCCGGGUUCGAUUCCCGGCUGGGGCA